rnacentral:rRNA from 1 species
UACGUAGGGUGCAAGCGUUGUCCGGAAUUAUUGGGCGUAAAGAGCUCGUAGGCGGUCUGUCGCGUCGGAUGUGAAAAUCAGGGCUCAACCCUGGACCUGCAUUCGAUACGGGCAGACUAGAGUUCGGUAGGGGAGACUGGAAUUCCUGGUGUAGCGGUGAAAUGCGCAGAUAUCAGGAGGAACACCGGUGGCGAAGGCGGGUCUCUGGGCCGGAACUGACGCUAAGGAGCGAAAGCGUGGGGAGCGAACAGG